UAUCCUUGGUCAAGAGGAAGGUAGCAACGAAGCUUCUUGAGUCGUCGGAGGGGCUUUUACCUAAAGAAGAGGUGAGUUAUGUAUUAGACUUAUGGGAAAAAGUAGUGAUGCAAACAUUGAAGCUAGGACCAAUGAGGUUCAAUUCGGGGAAAACGAUGGAGCUUGUUGAGUCAUUGGAAAGACUUCCAUCCAAUGAAGAGGUGAGUUGUGCAUCGGACUUAGAGGAAAAAAUAGCUGUGAAAACUUUGAAGCUAGGAUCAAUGAGGCUCAUUUCUGUUGAGUUAUUGGAGGAGUUACCACUUAUGGGAAAGGUAGGUUGUGCAUUAAAAUUUGGAAAAGUGGUGAUGCAAACUGGAUAGUUGAGUCGAGUAAAUACAACGAACGAGGUAAAUCUCAAAUACUAUGAUAGUGUUUUACAUUUUGACUUACCAUUAGCUUGACAAGAAUAUAAAGACUGUAGCAGCCAAUUUUGGCCCAUACCAACAAACCAAAAUAAAACACCAAAUACAAUAAAUAAAAAUAAAGUCCAAGAGUCACCUAGCCCAAAUUACAAACUACCCAAACCCCAUCAGCCCACUACUAAACCAAACCCAAUUAAAUACAAACCCUAAAGCCCAAGACAGCCCAACCAACUAAAAAUUUUCAGCAGCAAAAAACCUAGCUGCAGGCUUUCAGCUGCUGCCUCCUCUGACACGUGUGCCACCACCGCUCGGGGCACCAACCACCAGCCUCUGACACGACCUGCAAAAUGAAGGUCCACACGCAAGCAAAUACCAACAGUAGAGAAACGAACAAAGAGAAAACGACAAGCAAAAACAAAAACGAAAGGAAUCAAACAAAAUAAAAAAACAAAGAACAAAUCAGUGUAACUCGGCUAUAAAAGCCGAAAUCAAUCCCUUUCUUUUUUUACGGAGAUUAUAAAGCAAAACGUGAAAUAAAAAUUAGAAAGGUCGUUGUUUUAAUAUUUUUUUGUUUCUUUUAUCUUCUCGUUUUUUCAUUUUAUUUCAUUUUUUAGAUAUCUAUUUUAAGCAUAAAAAACAAAGAAUAAAAAAGAAAAGGGAGGGGCUCACCUCGAUCUCGUGGUCGCGCGUCGGAGAACACUUUUCCAUCGCCUACAUCGGACCCAAAAGGGGGGGUUGAGGGCCUCCUUCGAUUCUUUGAGUUUUCGUAGCCUAGCCUUUAAAGGCGUUUCAAACGAGGCUAAGGGGACCAUUUUGCUUCUCUCCGACCACCGUAUACGGUGGAAGAGCGGUGGUCCGGCGAUGAUGGGUAUAUUACCCUAGCCAAAUGAGAAGAGGGAGGAGGGAGAGAGAGAGCAGGAAGGCUCUCUGCCUUUUUUUUUGAAAGAAAAUAAAGUUAAAAUAAAAAUAAACAAAAUUUUUUGGCUUUAAUAGCCAUGCAAAACACUGCGUUUUGCACACAUAUGCUUGGGUUUGGGAUAUUGUCCCAUUUAAUCCCCGCGAGUUUAAGCAUGUUUCGAAUUAGCCCCCAGGACCUUCUCUUUUCAUUUGCAAUUGAUACCCUGAAUUCUGGCCCACUUUCAAUCACGUCCUGCAUCCUUUUUGUUACUUUUAUUGUUUAUUAAUUUUAGAAUGUUUUAUUAUGUACUAUUUCAAAUAUUUUACAUACUGUUUGCUACUAGAUUAUUUAUGUAUAUGAUUUAUUUUAACUUGUUUUAACAUUGAUUAUUAAAAAUCGAAUUACUACCCAUUUUAAACGUUUUUUUUGUAUAUUGAGUGUACUAGGCUAUUUUGUUAUAUUAUAUGUUUUUGAUACUUUUCACAUAUCAUUCAUAUAGUUUAUUUCCAAUUAUUUUUUAUACAUAUAACAAAGUGACAGUUUUGUAUAUUGUUAUUACUAUUAUUAUUUUCUUUAAGCCCCCUUUUAUUUCAAGUUUUUAUCUCUAUGUAUAUAUAUGUAUAUUUUUAAAUUAAUCUAUAUGCACAUCGUUCAUUUUAAAACUGUUUUCAUGCCUUAUAUAACCCUAUUUAUUUAUUUUAAAAUAUUUUUUAUUAUUGUUUACUUUAAAUUUAUAUAUAUAUUUUUCAUACUUUUACAUGUAUAUAUAUAUUAUUUACUUUAAAAUUAUUCGUAUGAAUCUUUUUCAAUUUGCUUUAUGUAAUAUAGAUUUUAAAAUUCUCUAUAUUAUAUAUUUUACAAAUUCGCUUCGUGCAUCAUUCGUUUUAAAUUGUUUAUUGUAAAAUUUUAUAUGUAUUAUCAAUUUCAAAUCGUUAUAUCUAUUUUGUACACAUAUACAUACUAAUUAUUUCUUAGAUGUCUUGAGUAUUACAUAUUUUAAGUUUCUUUUACAUAAUAUUUAUUUUAUACUUGUUUAGGUAUCAUUUGUCUUAAAUUAUUUUACACAUUAUUCAUUUUUAAGCUUUUCCCAUAUAUUAUUUAUUUCAAAUUUUGGUCUGUAAUAUCUAUUCUAAAAUCUCUUAUACAUAUAUUCUUCUUUUAAAUUGGCUUGCACAUUGUUGAUAUUUCUUUUUAUUAGUUAUUUUAAAUUCAUUUCUUGUCAUUUUUAAAUUUGCUUUACGUUUUAUUCAUUUUAAUUCGCUUUAUAAUAUUUUUUUAUUCAUUUGUCUUUGAUUAUUAAUGAUUAGUAUCUAAGCGAUAUAUGUUAUGUGAAUAUUACCAUUGCGUGUAUUAUAUUUGGUCUAUUCGUAUAUUCAUCAUUUUCAUUUGCUUGUAUAACAUUGUAUUCAUGUUGUAUUAUCCCAUGCUCUACGAUAUAUCUUUGUUUUAUCUAGCCUAAGUCAUAUCAUACAUUAAGCCCAAUACAUUUAUCCAAUAAAUCGUUUUAUUUUAAUCUAACAAAUACACGUCGUUUAAAUAUUGUAUUCGCUACUAUUCAAAAACAAAAUUUUCCAAAUAAGGCAAUGUUAUGCAUUUUGAAAUGUUGAGGAAUUGUGCCCUAACUUACGGGGUUUCGAUUCUCUCGUUGAUUCUAAAUAGCCAAAUAUCCUUUCGAGUUUUAAGAACACAUGAAAUUUCAAUUAAAAUAAAAGAUAAACUUGCGCUCGGAAGUAAAAGGUAUCGUGUCCUAACUUACGGGAUGUGAUUCUCUGAUGUCUCGAGACGAGGAAAUCUUUAGCAAUCGUUUUGAUCCAAUUCAAGCACUUUUAAACUCGACAUUCAUAAAAAGGGAUCGUAUUUCAAAAUUUAUUUUAAAACUUUUCAAUUUACGAUAUUAAGACAUUAAUUAAUCAAUUAGGUACCAAUUUUUGGCGUUACGAGGGUGCUAAUCCUUCCUUGUACGUAACCGACUCCCGAACCCGUUUUCUCAAAUUUCGUAGACUAAAAUGUCGUUUUAGUAAACUAAAAUGUUUUAUUAAAACAAGGGUGAUCCGAUCACAUCCAAUAAAGAUCGGUGGCGACUCCCGUUUUAAUUUUCACUUUCAAAAUCAAAGUCGAUCCCCGUUUUAAAAAAUGGUUUCGACAGCUUGGCGACUCCACUGGGGACCUAUUAAGAGAGUCAAGCCACACGUUGAUUAACUUUUGUCUUUUUUUUGAAAAUUGAAAAUUUGGUUUUGAUGUAUGAUCCUUUCAUUGCAUUUCACCCGUUUUUCUUACGGUUUUUUAUCAUUUUAUUCCUAUUUUCUUUAAUCACUUCGAGUUUUUUAUGCAUAUAUCCUCGCACAUUUCAUUGCAUGACCGUUGUGGUCGCACUCUUUAAGUGGGAGUGAAAAACUAUUCCUUCGUGAUGUUUUCACCUCCGUGCAGGAUAGCGGAUCGCUUUCGGGAUACAUUAGUACCUAUGUCUUCGUGAGAUUUUCAUCUCCGUGCAGCCAUAGGGAAAUGUAUUCUCCUGAAUUGAACUUGGUCUGUAUGAGCCUAUAAUGGGCGAAGAUCGAGGAAUCUGCUGGUUCAGGUACCUUUACUCUAGAACUAAACUACAUAUAGAGUGACCUAGGAGCCCACCCUAGGUAAAGCCAUUUUGAACCUCUAGUGGUCACCCAAAUUGCUUUAUUUGUUAUUUAUUUAUCCUGUACUAACGUGUUUUGUUUUUGUUUUGUUUAUAAUUGCAUUACAUUACAUCAUCAUAGGAAGGAGGUGUUGAUUCAUAUUUGAUUGCUAAAUAGAAUAGUUUGUCAUAAGAAAACGAAUUUUUUGAUAAAGUGGAUUAUAACACGAUUAUCUAAAUAUGGUCCAAGUAAACACAAUGAAAGAAAGCUGAUAGUCCGUGAAGAAAUACAAGACUUUGCUUCAUUGCCUGCGGAUACAAGCCGUCAAAGAUUAUUCGAGAGUCGUCAUGGAGCUGACGAGUAUAGUAGGGACAAGUGAUCAAUGAGUCGCGGCCUGGAUCAAGCAAAAAGGAGUUAAUAUAGACAUCUCUUGGAGAAUUCGAAAGACUCGACCAUAAGAUCUAGAUAUGAAGAGGAAGUUAGGUGUCUUCACUUGAAAUAUGGGAGAAAGGCCGUAUAUGUAGUCUGUUUUAUGUAAAGGAAUUUGUUUUCUAGAAAAGUUGUUCUAAUGAAAUUGAAUUCAGAAUCAAUGCCUUCCUUUCUUUUGCAUUCAUUUCAUGCAUUUGCAUUGCAUUGCAUUAUUUGCAUUAGACUUUCCCUAAAAGAACCCUAAUUAGGUGAAAUUAUUUCAGUUAGCAUGGGAACCGACAAAGGUUAAACGACUAGGCAUCUUUACAGUACACGAAAAAGGAUAAAAGAUAUGGAUCAAAGAUUGGAAAGACUUGAACAACUUCAAAGAGAGACGCAAGACCUGCUACAAAUGCAAAUGCAAGAGCAACUAGCGAAGAUCCAGCAAGAUAUAAUGGACCAAAUGCUAGAAUCCCAAAGGAAUACGAUGAAUCAGUUGUCCCAAUUACUGACUAAGGGGCUAAGAAAAGGAAAAAACUCCAUGAUCAAUGCUGGGGAAGACAAUGAUGAGCCUCUAUACCCUCCGGGUUUCACCCCGAUAAACGAUCAGACAUGUCUGAAAGAUGUACCUAUUGCUAUCAGAUCACAACAACUUCAGGUCGGUACCCCGGCACCCCUGAACUACCUGACGGGCUCAGGUUCCAAUCCAAGGGACAGUCCAACCAAUCAUGAAGUUCCUGAUCUAGACGAAAUGAAAGAAAUAGAAAAAGCAAAGGUUGAACUGGCAAGACAACUCGAAGAUCGAUGCAAGUGGUUGGAAGAAAAACUUAGAGUGAUGGAGAAUGCUGAUUACCAUUGCGGGGUCGAUGCCAAGAAUCUGAGUUUGGUCUCUGAUCUAGUACUCCCGCCAAAAUUUAAGACUCCAGAAUUUGAAAAGUACAAUAGGACUAGUUGUCCUGAAGCUCACAUCACAAUGUUCUAUCGAAGGAUGACAGGAUAUGUUAAUAACGAGCAAUUAUUAAUUCAUUGCUUCCAAGACAGCCUGAUCGGGUCAGCAGCUAAAUGGUACAAUAAAUUAAGUCGUGCUAAAAUCAAUUUAUGGAAAGAUUUAGCACCGGCUUUCAUGAAGCAGUAUGGCCACAUGACUGACAUGGCGCCUGACAGAAUUACACUACAGAAUAUGGAAAAGAAGCAAAGUGAGAGCUUCAGGCAAUAUGCCCAAAGAUGGAGAGAGGUAGCGACGCAAGUCCAGCCGCCUCUUUUGGAAAAAGAGACCACGAUGCUUUUCAUCAAUACUCUGAAAGCCCCGUUCAUUACCCAUAUGUUGGGAAGCGCUACCCUGAGCUACUCAGACAUAGUAAUGUCCGGCGAGAUGAUUGAAAAUGCAAUCAGGAGUGGGAAUAUAUAUGUAGGAGGAAGCGCAAAGAGGUCAACCCCAAAUAGAAAUGAAAAUGAAGUGAAUAAUAUGAGCAAGGGGUACCCCAAAUUGGUCAACAUAGGCCAGCCGGGGCAGGAAUCCAACUCGAGGCCUAAUACAGAAAGGCUCCGGUUUACACCAAUCCCAAUGUCAUAUAAGGAGUUGUAUCAGAGUCUCUUUGAUGUACAUGUAGUAUCACCGUUCUACUCGGAACCAGUGCAACCUCCAUUCCUAAAAUGGUAUAAUAAGAAUGUUCAAUGCGAGUACCACGCGGGAAUAACGAGACACUCAAUCGAAAAUUGCACUACUUUUAAAAAGUUGGUCGAAAUGUUCAUUGAAAUGGGAGUUGUAAAGUUUGACGAUUCCUCAAAACCAAAUCGCUCUGACAAUGCAAUAAAUACGAUUUGAAAGUGGAGGCAAGAGAGUUGCAAUGCCUUGAACAAGUCAAAAGUCUGGAAGGAAUAUCGGGGAAUCUGAAUGACUUAUCCGAAGAAGGAACCGGGGAAUAAAAGUUUCCAAACCCUUGCAUUACUUAGAAGUGUUUUGAACAAUGGGAUUGUGGAAGAGAUCCCUUUAUUUUUAGAGUUAAUCUAGAGUAAUAUUCAAAACACGCUUGUUGCUUUAAGCCUAGAAGCAAUUAGACCCCUUUUGUGAAAUAGGCUUGUGUCCAAAGUUUUUAUUUCAAUAAAAUGCAUCUUUUUGAGAAAAUAUUCUUUGAUUUCAUAUUGUACAAAUAAUCGUUCUUAGAUUCAUUUGUUCUUUGGACUUUCUUUCAAAUAUUCAUGUAUACUUCAUCCAUGAUCAUACCAUACAAAUAAUCAUCCUUAGAAUCAUUUAUUAUUUGGAAUCUUCCUUCAGCGGGUCCUCAGAUAUCAAUGAUGUGAGUAAUGCUGUCAUUGACUCCGAGUCUCCUUUUGAGCGAAAUAUGGGCCUAAAGGGAUCUCAACACUUUGAAGAUGACAGAGAUGUAGACUACUCUCUGAUUUGUUAGGGAUGGUAGAGUAAGAUGAAACAGAUCAUCUCUUACAAAAAGUCAGUAGACAGUAGACCUAGGACAAGAGAAAGAGGCAAACAUCGAAGUCUGCAUUACCACAAAGGCAAAGCGAGCUUCAUUGAGUCACUUCUAAGAAUUUAAAGAUUUUUGCACGAUCGUAUCAAGAUACGCCUGGCUACUAAGACAUGAGGAUGUUGUUGGGUUUUGAAUGACAUAUGCUAAUGGGUUUACGAUGGCCAGACUAAUCAUGAGAUUUGGGUUCUGCUGGCCCACCAUAGAAAGGGAUUGCAUCAGUAUGCCGUAAAUGCCAAAUUUAUGGAGAGAAAUUCAUGUGCCCCUUCAUUCUUUCUACUUUCUCUAUGUGGGGCAUGGAGGUUAUUGGGUUGAUCUCGUCGAAGGCUUCUAGCAGACAUCAAUUACUUCGUUAAGAGGGUGAAAGUCGCUUCAUAUGCCAAUCAUCAAAUCCUUAAAAAAAAAAGAGAUCAUGGAAAGGUGACUGAGACUUGUAAAGAUUGGCAUAAGAAGUCAUCAUGUACCCUCUAUGCUCAUCAAACGUUAGCCAAGACCUUCGCCGGGGCAACAUAUUUCAUUAGUCUAUGGGAUAAAAACGGUUUUGAAGAAAAGAUUCUUUGUUUCUGAAUCUUGACAAAGUUGAAGUUGGAUAAGGCAAAAUGGAUCCAAUCCCGAAAUGAUCAGUUGAGUUUGAAGAAAGGAGGUUGAAAGCCAUCUGUCAUGGUCCAAUAAAUGAUGUGAACUUAUGACGAAGAGGUUCAUCCUAGAAAAUUCCACUAGGGGAACUUGAUAUUGAAGAAUAUCCCUCCUAUACAAAAGGACUUCAGAGGAAAGUGGAUGUCAAACUAAGAAAGACCUUAUAUAAUAAAGAAGGCCUAUUCUGAAGGAGCAUUGAUUCUAGUCGAAAUGAAUGGCAGAGAUUUUCCCAAUCUGGUGAAUUCAAAUCUAGUCAAUGAGCAUUCUACGUAAAAGGAAAGAGGCCAAGGUGAAAACCCGCAAAGGGCGCCUUUAAAAAAAAAAAGGGAGAGGCCAAGGCGAAAGCCAGCAAAUGGCACCUUGAGACCAAAGGGGAUUUAAGUUGAAAACCCGAAAAGGGCGGCUCAAAUUUGGAUCAAAGUGGGGCAUACAGCAGUCUUGCCAUGCCUGAAUUAACAAUAAAGAAGUAUGCUACAUCUUGGGGCAUCAACAAAGUACUCCGGAUCCCCUAAACACAUAUUGAGCUUAGAAAGGUCCUUAAGAAGUUGGUACAGAGAAGCUCAAGCAGCGAUAUCUGGGGCAUCUAGCUUCCAUUUUGCCCAUCUUGAAUUUGUUAUCUUUGAUUCUUUUCAAGAUAUGUCCGAAUAAAUUUUCUUCUUAUUGCAUUGCUAUCAUUGAUUAACUUAUUCAUUUUGAGUUAAUUUCCUUCUUAUUGCAUUUGCAAUCUUUGAUUAAUUUAUUCAUUUCGAGCUAUGCUCCCAAUCAAUUUACUUCUUGUCCAUCGUUUUGAUAUUUUUCAAGCAUUUUGUAUUGAAAUAAUGAUUAAUGGACCAAUAAUACUUUCACAAAAGAAGUUCUGCAUAUUACUUUGGGAGCUUCUAAAUAGUACAGGAGCCUGAAACAGGACCAUUAUUCAGAACUCACCAAGCCUAAAGGUAGGAAAUAUUUGAGCCCAAAUUGAAAUUAUCUCAUUGGGUUUUCUAUCAAAGAUAUUGGUUGAGCAGAAAAAUUAAUUGGUGUUAUAAUCCCGGCAAAGAACGAGCAAUGAGAUUAUUCUUGGGAAAAGAAAAAUGAUGCUUUGCAUUUAUGCGAAUAUCAAGCAUAUACAUCUGGCCAUUACACCCAGGGAAUAGUGUAACAGAUCAAACUAAUUAAAGAUGAUACAAAUCCUAUACCUUUGAAUUACAGUAGGAUGGAUGGAAGAAACCAAAUGUUAUUCCUUUGAAAUUGCAGUGGGAGGCAGAAACUUUAUGUCCCAGAAGGUACAGUGGAAGGGACUCUGAAAUUACAGCGGGGCAAGCUUGCUGAACAAAAUGUGAUUGUUUUUCUGAAUUUUCUGUCAAGAAUACCAGUCGAACAAGAUGGCAACGUAAUACGUCAGUGAUAAUGUCCUGAUGAACAACGAGCGAUGAUACCUUAAGCCUUUUUUUAAAAAAAAAAAGGAGAAAAAAGCUCAUGACAUUUCUACACAUCUAGUUAGGAGCAUUUGAUUCAUUUUGAUCAUAGCAUCCUAAUUAUUUGACAUAAGCAUCACAUUUAGUUAGGAGCAUUAGAUCCAUUUCAAUCAUAGCAUCCUAAUUAUUUGGCAUAAACAUAGAUACAUGAAACUGAUUUUACAGAUCAUGUUCCUCAGAGGAUAGUGCAGUGGAAUCGGUGAAUUCAAAGCCUUAUCUCCCUAAGCAGUAGGGUAACAGGCUAAAUUUACAGAUCUUGUCUCCCUAAGCAGUAGUGGAGCAAAUCGAAGACGAACGGCCUUAAACCCCUAAGCAGUAGGGUAACAGGUUAAAUUUAUAGAUCUUGUCUCCCUAAGCAGUGGUGGAACAGAUCGAGGGUUAAGAGCCUUAAACCCCUAAGCAGUAAGGUAACAGGCUGAAUUUACAGAUCUUAACCCCUUAAGCAGUAGGGAAACAGAUCGAAGAUGAAGAUCUUAACCCCCUAAGCAAUAGGGAAACAGAUCGAAGAUGAUAGGCUUUAACCCCCUAAGCAGUAGGGUAACAGGCUGAAGAUUUACAGAUCUUAACCCCCUAAGCAGUAAGGAAACAGAUUAAAGAUGAUAGGCUUUAACCCCCUAAGCAAUAGGGUAACAAGCCGAAUUUACAAGCCUUAAACCCCUAAGCAGUAGGGUAACAGGUUGAAGAUUUACAAAUCUUAACCCCCUAACUAGUAGGGUAACAGGUUGAAUUUACAGAUCUUGUCUCCCUAAGCAGUAGUGGAGCAAAUCAAAGACGAAAGGCCUUAACCCCAUAAGCAGUAGGGUAACAGGCUGAAUUUACAGAUCUUAACCCCCUAAGUAGUAGGGAAACAGAUCGAAGAUGAUGGACCUUAACCCUCUAAGUAGUAGGGUAGUAGGCUGGAAAUCAAAUAUCUUCUCCCUAAAAUGGCGUUGGAGCGGCUAAAAGCCACAGCAGAUCUCCUUGAAGUUUCAGUGGAGUAGAUUAAAAAUCACAGAUCUUAUCUCUCUGAAGUUGCAGUAAAGCAGAUCCAAACAAACCUUAUCUCCCUAAAGUUGCAGCGGGGCAGGUUGAAAUCACGAGUCUCAUCUCCUUGAAAUUGUAGUGGAGCAGGCUGAAGAUAGUGGAUCUUAUUUCCCUGGAGUUGCAGUGGAACAAAUCAAAGCUACGAAUUACGAGUUCUAUACCUCUGAAGUUGCAAUAGGGUCAGAUCAAAUUCUUCAAAUUGAGCAGAUGAAAGCUACAAAUCUACACCCCUGAAGAUGCAGUGGGAUGGAACGAGACUUUUAGAAGAACAAAAGUACCAAGAAGCCAAAGACUCAGUGGGACUGGGCAAAAUUGGCUCCUUUAAAGUCUUUGCUCCAUUCUCGUUACACGACAAUGAGCAAAGAGGGGCAGCUGUAGCAGCCAAUUUUGGCCCAUACCAACAAACCAAAAUAAAACACCAAAUACAAUAAAUAAAAAUAAAGUCCAAGAGUCACCUAGCCCAAAUUACAAACUACCCAAACCCCAUUAGCCCACUCCUAAACCAAACCCAAUUAAAUACAAACCCUAAAGCCCAAGACAGCCCAACCAACUAAAAAUUUUCAGCAGCAAAAAACCUAGCUGUAGACUUUCAGCCGCUGCCUCCUCUGCCACGUGUGCCACCACUGCUCGGGGCACCAACCACCAGCCUCUAACACGACCUGUAAAAUGAAGGUCCACAUGCAAACAAAUACCAACAGCAGAGAAACGAACAAAGAGAGAACGACAAGCAAAAAAAAAAAAACGAAAGGAAUCAAACAAAAUGAAAAAACAAAGAACAAAUCAGUGUAACUCGGCUAUAAAAAGCCGAAAUCAAUCCCUUUCUUUUUUUCCGGAGAUUAGAAAGCAAAACGCAAAAUAAAAAUUAGAAAGGUCGUUGUUUUAAUAUUUUUUGUUUCUUUUAUCUUCUCGUUUUUUCAUUUUAUUUCAUUUUUUAGAUAUCUAUUUUAAGCAUAAAAAAUAAAGAAUAAAAAAGAAAAGGGAGGGGCUCACCUCGAUCUCGUGGUCGCGCGUCGGAGAACACUUUUCCAUCACCGAUAUCAGACCCAAAAUGGGGGGUUGAGGGCCUCCUUCGAUUCUUUGAGUUUUG
rnacentral:lncRNA from 1 species